UACGUAGGGUGCAAGCGUUUGUCCGGAAUUAUUAGGCGUAAAGAGCUCGUAGGCGGUUUGUUGCGUCGGCUGUGAAAUCCCGAGGCUCAACCUCGGGUCUGCAGUCGAUACGAGCAACUAGAGUGUUGCAGGGGAGACUGGAAUUCCUGGUGUAGCGGUGAAAUGCGCAGAUAUCAGGAGGAACACCGGUGGCGAAGGCGGGUCUCUGGGCAACAACUGACGCUGAGGAGCGAAAGCGUGGGGAGCGAACAGG
rnacentral:rRNA from 1 species